GGAGUUCCAUCGGGCUUUAGCCCGACUGCAGUUCGGCCUCGAUCACUGAGACGCGCGAAUUCGAGGCUGGAUCCGUCCUCCUUCACGCUCGUCGUCGUGCCUUGCUCAGAUAAUAACGUUUCGAUCGCAGAAAAAUUCGGCUCGAUUUCAUUCAAGCGUUCGUACGUACAGCCUUUCACGCGUCUCGAAAAAUCGAUCGUAACGAAGCACCGAAGAGUACAUGCCAGUUUCUUAUCAAUGAAAGUAGGAUAAAAAUAUAAAUAAUUCAUCUCGGGGAGAAUAUUGGAAGAUCGAGAAUGAAGUUGAAGGAGAAACGAGAAAAAGAGAAAAAAAAAAGGAAACGAAAAAAAAUUAUUGGAAAAGUUAUGGUAGAACUGAGAAGAAAGUUGUUAAAAAUUGAUUGUUGAUUUCAAGUGUUCGUCGCGCUAAACGGGAUAUGUCGGAAAGUGUCGGCUGUAUGGUGUUUCAUUUGUCGCAGAAUGUCAGUAAGUAGUCAGUAGUGCGUUUUUUUUUUGCCCGCGAGAUAUGAUUUUUCGUUUCUUUUUUCUUUUUCUUUUUCUUCUUCUUUUUUUUCCGACAAGUAAAUAGCCAUAGUUGGUACUUGUUUCCAAGCAAAAUUAAAAUUCUCCUGUCGGAUUCUAUGAUUAAUUCGAAAUUCGUGGAUAUUCGUAUUAAAGUGGAUAUAACGUGGAGAGGACGAGUCGAAUUAUUAUCAGAGAAAUUCUGAACUGAACGUUAUUUCAGUUGUCAUUGCCUUGACAAACGAGCACGUGGUCCGAAUGAAACCCAAACACACACCCACGCAAAAUUCUCGAUAGACAAGACCUCGAUGACUAGAAAAUCACGCAUAGCUUUCGCUUUCACUUGCGAAACCGAGAUAUAUCGCGCGUGUAUUUUUUCGCGAUCUUCCGCGAAAGAAAGAAUUUCCAACAAUUGGAAUCGGAAGAAAAAGAUAUCCAAAUUUCCCAAGAAAUUUUCCAUUCCGUCACAUCGACGUUCGCUCAUUUUUUCUCUCUCUCUCUCUCUCUCUUGACCCCUUUCGCAAACUUCCAACACUUUCUCCCGUUCGAGAAUUUAAAGGUCAUUUUCAUCCGUAAACAUGUCCUUUAAUAGUUUUCUCUUCUUUUUUUUUUUUUUCAAUCUCCAACAUCGAAUAUAGUUCGGUAAAAUGUUUUUUUCAACGCUCGAUUAACCGCAAUUAAUUUUUAAAUAAUUCAUAAAAAAUUCAACGGAUCUGCAAGUAUGACGCAGCUCUAGCAGGUAGCGUCAUUGUCCUAGUUUUCACCCGGUGCAUUCGAUUCAGCAGCGAACCGCUUACCUUUUUCUCUUUUUUUUUUUUUUCGUAACUCGAACGUUUUCGAAAAUCAAAUGUCCAAAGAAAUUUAAAAUUCAUAUCUAGCUUGACGACACGUUAUAAAACAUUUUAAAACAAAAAGGAAGAAAAGUAUACGAUCGAGUAAAGUUCCGAAACGAAAAACUUAAUUUUAAAUUGAAUUUUAACGUUAAAAAUCUUGAUACGAAAUAUCAACGAUCAAUUAUCAGUUAAAAUAGUGAUUAAUCGUGGAGCAAAAGGAUUCAUUUUUUCUUUCUUUUUCUCUUUCUUUCUUUUUUUUUUUUUUUCGGCGUUAAUUGGAUCAAAAAUAUGGCGCACUACUUAUCCUUGUCGUCCUGCACCUUCCUGCAACCCCCUUUGCCCCUCGACAGUCCUGUACCUCGACCCCUCUGUCCCCCACUUUUCCUUGGAAUGCACGUCACCUAGGGGGAGGUGGUGACGUCAGUAGAAUGCGGACACAGGAUUGGCCGUUACCUCGCUGACGUCAUAGAGGCUGACUACAUGAGCUUGCACCCCCUACCCUCCCCGGACUCCUCUCGCUGCUGGCUGCAAUAGGCAUCGAGAAAUGGUGCAUGACAGUUCAAAGCCCCAGUUUUCCAAGGCUGUGCGGACCAAGAGGUCGCCGUACGUUUCACCUUCCUCCUCAACCUGACGUUCCUUCAUUUCCCGCUUUUAUCUCUCCCUCUUUCUUCCUUUCUUUUUCCUCUUCAUCCAAAUCUCUCCAUUUAUACAACUUCCUCCUUUUUUUAUACCGGAUCUCAUAUCGUGACGAAUCACAAGGAUCAUCGAUUUCAUCGGAAACUCCUCCUCGCCAAAUUCAUUUUUAAUUUCCAAACUUCCUCCCAGUUCAAUUUAUCUCUUAUCAUGGAGGAUGGAAAUUUGAUCUCGCGAUAUAUAUCGAAUUUAGUCGAAAGGAGAAGAUCCGAAAAACAAGUGGAUCCGAACAAGUUUCGUUUUAUUUUGAGAAUAAAUACGGGGGAAGAUUCUUUUUCCAGCCAAGUUCCACGCGAUUACUUCCUUUCUUUUUUUUCCCGCGAUUGAUCUCCGCCGAUGUCGAGGGGAGGGGAAGCCAGGAGCCGCGGGUUUACAUGUUUGAUUUUGUGCGACAUCGAGUUUCAUAAAUAAAGCCCAAUUGAAGAGAAGCUCGCAGGGGGAUGGAGUAGCAUGACCCGGUGACCCAGAUUUCCUAUGACUUGCGUCAUUCACAAUCUCUCCCCACCAAGUACUACGACAACGACACGUAUCUGGAAUAGAGAGAGAGAGAGAGAGAGAGAGAGAAAGAGGAUGGGUGAAAAGAGGAUGAGAUGAGAUUGGGCGAGUGAGCGGGUGAGAGUGCAUGUAUCCUCUACCUCCGAGUAACCUCCGAUUUCGGUUAACCACUUUCGGUCUUCUUUCAAGGACGGCUAACAUACAGCUCCCGCUGAUCGGAAAACGUGAUCGAAUUCAUUGAUAAAACGAGUGAGUUGAUCGUUCGCGCGCUAACAAACAGUGUGUCGAGUUUGUGUCGAUUAUUACAACUUGAUUUGAAAAGUAUUCUUAUUCGAAACGGUAAACAAUUGUUUCCUCUUCGAAUGAAAAUGUUCCAUCCCUCUCUUCCUCUAUCUUUUUCGUCGAUGUUCUUUUCUUAUGAAGAGAGAGAGAGAGAGAUGGUGUCAUCGAGAUACAAAACCUUCCCUCUUAAGGAUUGAUGUCGUUGCACUUGUGCCAAAAUAUCCAAGGCCCAUGGUGUGCUGUUGCCUGGCAACCAUCUUGGGUCAAUGGAAUACGCGGUUCAUGGGAGAAACUGGGUCAACCCACGAGAUGUUCUAGGGGGUGUCUCCUUAAGUUGUUCCUCCUCGUGGUGAAAAGAUACUCGCGGUACUCUACGUACCCUCGUUCGGUAACCAAGCUUGCGAUAUAUAUUCUUUGUGUAAUAAUUUUCUCACGAAGGUAAGCUGUUAAAAAUUGUAUAAAAUUUUUUUUUAUUCUCUCUUUCUUCUCUUUUUCUUUAUUAAAGUCGCAAAUUUUAAUUCGAAGAACACGUUCUUUCCUUCUUUUUUGAAAAAUUUUGUUCUCGAAUUUUCAUGUGAACGUGAAUAUCUCUCCAUACGAGUUACGUCGAGUUAAAUGGAAAGAAAAAUUGCGAGCAAUAAAUGUCAACGGAUAAAGCGAGGUAUAGAAAAAUCACGCAUCGUUGAAAAUCUUGAACAAGCCGCCCUUGGCUUACCUUCUACUGACCCGAAUACCUAUAUAUUAGGUGGCGUGCCUAUUUAUAGAACCACCCCCGAUGAACGACCCCAACAAGCGCGACGUAAAGAAGCCCCGCUCUAAACAACGAAGAAACAAUAUUAUUGCCUUUUCCUUUACUCACUAUCGACAUUCGUUGGAGUAAAUUAGCUUUAUAUAUAUAUAUAUAGCUUUAAUUUCAGAUUUCAUUAAAAAAGAAAAAGAAAUUUCACGAUUGCUCGCGUGAAACUCAAUGAAAACCGGGCACCAGUCGGUUCACCAUUGGUUCAUUUUUAAAAGGCUAACGGAUCUAUUGCUGUACUGUUCCACUGUGCUGUGUCAAUUGACCUUUAAAACAUGCUUACACGCUCGAAUUAUUUAAACGCAAGUUUGAAAUUUCACGUCUCGGCAUAGUACAAAGCUGUUAAAUAUUAACACCAAUUUUUGUUUCGCGUUAAAUUUUGCAUGAUAACGUUUCCCUUCCCCCUCCCCUCCCAUCGAUUUUUUACUUCUUUUUUUUUUUAUCCCAGUUUAUCGUUGUUACCCACCAUUUUUCUUUAUAGCUGUUUAAAAGUUCAGUGCCCGGAUAUAAUCGAGUUUUCCCCUGACGUCAUCGAAUAUAUAUCCCGUCCACGUCAUUAACGCGACAUUAUCGCUGGCGUAAAGAUUUUUAAUAUUAAUACUUUGUUAUAACUGCAUGAUCGGUUCACUGUUAAUGAUUUAAUGUCAGAUUCUACGGGGGGAGGGGAAAAAAGAAAAAGAAAGAACAGAGAAAAGAAAAGAGGGAAAAAAAAAAAACUACAACGUCCUCUUCGAUUGUGCUCGACAGACACGAGUUGAAAAUCGAAUCACGGGGUAAAGGAAACGUGUACGUAGGAAAAUACGUGGCGAAAGAGAUGCAAGGAUACCGAGGAUAAGUAAUAGGAAAACUGCAAUACCAAGGUAGGUCGAUAAGAGCAUGGCGCAUCGGUAACCGUGGUGGGUAGGGUUGGUAAGGGAAACAGGUGGUUUGAUGACCAUUGGUAAAAGUGGUACGAACCGGUUAAGAGCGUGGCAGGAUGGUUUCGUGUCCGGGCUGCGAAAAGUUAUGUUACUCGAAAGGAAAAGAGCGGCCGAUGCGCAGUGGUGUCUGACCGAGCACAAGACACUUCUACUGCGAACCAUUGCCCUACUAAACGCAUGUAAUGCCUUUGAACGCUGUAGUGCGUUUUCACUCGGAUCGAAUCCGAGGAAAUCCGAGCAAAGUUCGUUCGACAAAUAUUCUGCCAUUUGAAAGAUCGAAAUGAUGAAAAACAAAAACAAACUUGUUUUUUUAAUCGUCUAAGAAAACGCAUCGUUAAACCUUGGAACGUGAAAGCGCAUUUUCGAAUGAAAAAUCCAUUACGCGAGAUUAGUUCCAACGUGCUCUGAACAUUCAGGAUUUUGUAAUAAAUUACAUUUUCCACAUCUGUGUUGUAACCAUGUGAUACCGUUCCAUUACAAAUAUUAAUUUCACUCGAGAAACAUUCCCCCGUUUACGUUUUAAAUUUAAAAUAUAUUUAUGCGAUAUUAAAAGUAUUGUUCCAAGUAUUAUUCCAAUCGAGAUGUUUAAAUGUUACCGUGGUGGACUAAAAAAAAAAAAGAAAAAAACAAAAGAAAGAAAGAAAUAAAGCACCCUUGUAAAAUUUGUAAAUAUCAAACAACUCGAUUAGUAUUUCCCAAGCAUACCAGAUGGCAGGUUAAACUUUGAGAAACCGACGAGUUAUUUUGGCAAACGCAUCGUACAUGAUCGGUGUACCGUAAACGUUUGUUUAUCAUUCCCGUAAAUGCAAACCUUUGAACGUCGUGUGUCGUGAUAAAAUGGAACAAUCGAAAUUUAAAUGCAAAAUCGUGUGAAAUUGGGAUGUCGUGACGCCAGCCGCCGUCGGAUAAGUGCUACACCACCGAAGAUCGAGGCUAUCUACCGGUAUAAACAACAUUUCAAAAUAUCAAAUUUAACGCAUAGAUUUAGAUUUUUUUUUCCCCCCUCCCUUGUGGCAACAAUUUUCACUCGCCCGUUCAAAAAAAUUACUUAUCAAAUUUUGAUUGAAUUAUGGAAACGAUACAACCAACAAUCCAUUGAAUAUAUGUAUAAAAAAAAAGGCUUUCCUUUGCACUGAUCAUAUUACAGAUUUCUCAUAAAUUUCAAUUACAUCGAAUAUAAUUUAUCACGAUACAUAUGUACGCAUGAAUCAUUUCGUAAUGAAUUCAAGUACAAAUUGAUUAGAUUAUUGGCCGCUGUUAUUAAUAUGAAUUAUAAUAUGAAUCAUUUCUCAAACAAACUACCGUCUUCUUUGCAAUCUUGUAAAAUUGACAAUAGAUGAGUUAUCGAUAAGAUUAAUUACAUUUUACAAAUAAAAUUAAAUAUCUUUAAUUAAUUGUAAUCUACAAUGCAAAGUUAUACAACUAGAAUCUAUAUAAUUACAUGUAACGUGUAUCAAAUCAUCAUUAUAAUUGUCUUUCAAAGGAAAUAUAAAAUGACAAAUAAUAUUAUACGUGUACAAUAUGUUUCAAUCAUUGGUUCUUAAUUGGUAAACAUAAAAGUGUUAAUAUUUAUUGUAUCUACAUCUUCUUGCAAUUCAUUAAUACAACUUUUGCUACAUAUUUCUCUUUAAAUUCUCUUUAGAUUUUCAAUUUAUUUAAAUCCUAUAAAGAAAAAGAAAAAUAUAUAUUUUUACAUAUAACAUGUUGAUGUUGUAAUUGAACAAUUUAAAUUCUCUUUUCGACAAUGAGAGAAGUUAUUAUUUUUUUUUUUAUCCAAAAUCAUUAUACAUAAUUAUAUGCAGGCCAGCAUCACGAUAUUUUGAAAAGCUGGAAGUCAUAAAAACGAACAACGGAAUCUCGUUAGAACCAAAAAAAUUGUAAUUCACAGAAGAACUCUAUUUUUCUACGCCAAUGAGAUUGACAAGGCUUCGCGUGGGGUGGAUGAGAUUAAUCCCGUUUACCUCAAGCAGAUUUAGGGCUUCUUAUGCAACUUUAUGUGCGUAUAUUCGUAUGCAACUAACAAUAAGCCCAAGUACACGUAUGAAAUGUCCUCUUCAACAUUAUCAAAUACGUAUUUCUUUUAAUCUGAUCUGAAAUGAAACUGAUUGAAUAUCCUGAUUGAAAUAUUUAAACGUUUCAUUUUAUGACCAUCGUUUCCCGUUCCAUUUGCUCCAGCUUAAGAAAAAAAUUAAAAACGAUUUUUCGUUGCUAAAAGAAGAUGUUGUAUGCAAUAAUUGACACGAGUCGAUCGUCGAAUUAUCCAUUGUACAUCGUUAAGAAAAGAAAUUAGGAUUAAGUUGUUAAAUGGGGGAGCGUUGUUGUAACAAAGUUGAAUUACCGUAUCCGUUUGAUUAUUAUCCAAGUGUAAGAAGAAAAACUUAAAUGUCAGGUGUCUGCAGAAGGACACGGUUUGAAAUCCUAACUGAUGUCCAACCCUUCUGACACGUAAUACCAAUCUGACACAACGCGCUUACCUGUCCACGGACUAUAUCGCGUGACAAAUUUUUCACACAGUGGCGCCAGAUAUAUCACGAUCAAAAACGUGCAAGGC
rnacentral:sRNA from 1 species